CCCCACCCCGCUCGCCUCGUCCGACCCCCCCCCACCUCCGUCGCCCCCAGGUUGCAGCGGGAGGUGCGUCUGGCCCAGAAGUUGGCAUAUACGGCGUAUCGGGGGAAUCAUUAUCGAUACCACCAGCCCGGAAUGUACAUGGACGCCCGGCUGGCCCAGUCCUGCCAGGUGCACCAGUACCAGCGCCAGAAAAAGAUCCUGACCAAUGAGGAGAGCCCCCCAAAGCCCGUCCAGCAGCUGUCGACGGAGUCAGAGACUGAGAACGGCGACUUUACUGUGUACGAAUGUCCCGGACUGGCACCGGU
ensembl:lncRNA